UACGGGGGGAGCAAGCGUUGUUCGGAUUUACUGGGCGUAAAGGGCGCGUAGGCGGCCACCGCAAGUCGACUGUGAAAUCUCCCGGCUCAACCGGGAGGGUGCGCGGGAUACUGGGCGGCUUGAGGACAUCAGAGGAGAGCGGAAUCCCCGGUGUAGUGGUGAAAUGCGUAGAUAUCGGGGGGAACACCAGUGGCGAAGGCGGCUCUCUGGGGUGCACCUGACGCUGAUGCGCGAAAGCGUGGGGAGCGAACCGG
rnacentral:rRNA from 1 species